GAUGGUGGAGUAGUGGUAACACGCUGGCCUCGGAUGUCAGAUGUCCGGAGUUCAAAUCCCGGCACGAUCA
rnacentral:tRNA from 1 species